CCUACGGGAGGCAGCAGUGAGGAAUAUUGGUCAAUGGACGGAAGGCUGAACCAGCCACGCCGCGUGAAGGACGAAGGUGCCAAGCAUUGUAAACUUCUUUUGUCAAGGGACAAAAUCAGGCUCGAGAGCCUGACCGAGGGUACUUGAAGAAAAAGCAUCGGCUAACUCGGUGCCAGCAGCCGCGGUAAUACGGAGGAUGCGAGCGUUAUCCGGAUUUAUUGGGUUUAAGGGGUGCGUAGGGGGGCAUUUAAGCCGGCGGGAAAAUGUCGGGGCUAAACUCGGGCCUGCCGUGGAAACUGGGUGGCUUGAGUGGGCGAGAGGUAUGCGGAAUGCGUGGUGUAGCGGUGAAAUGCGUAGAUAUCAGGAAGAACACCGAUUGCGAAGGCAGCAUACCGGAGCCCUACUGACGCUGAGGCACGAAAGUGCGGGGAGCGAACAGGAUUAGAUACCCCAGUAGUC
rnacentral:rRNA from 1 species